GACGAACGCUGGCGGCGUGCUUAACACAUGCAAGUCGAACGAAGUAGCAAUACUUAGUGGCGGACGGGUGCGUAACACGUGACUAACUUGCCCUAGACUGGGGAAUAACGGAGGGAAACUUCCGCUAAUACCGCAUGUUGAGCUUUGGUGGCAUCACCGGGGCUUGAAAGAUUUAUCGGUCUAGGAUAGGGUCGCGGCCUAUUAGCUUGUUGGUGAGGUAACGGCUCACCAAGGCGACGAUGGGUAGCUGGUCUGAGAGGAUGAUCAGCCACACUGGGACUGAGAUACGGCCCAGACUCCUACGGGAGGCAGCAGUGAGGAAUAUUGCGCAAUGGACGAAAGUCUGACGCAGCAACGCCGCGUGAAGGAUGAAGGUGCUCUGCAUUGUAAACUUCUGUAGGGAGGGAAGAAUGGCCUGCUAUUGGCGGGUUUGACGGUACCUCCAAAGUAAGCACCGGCUAAUUCCGUG
rnacentral:rRNA from 1 species